rnacentral:pre_miRNA from 1 species
ACCCUCCUGUGCAGAGAUGGUGUUCAUCACCAGGGACAGGUAUGUUUACCAGAGUGUGGAUGGUGUUCAGCACCAGGGACAGGUGUGUUAACCU